AACGAACGCUGGCGGCAUGCCUAACACAUGCGAGUCGAACGAGACGGUCGGGCCUAGGGGCGCACGGGGGGGGAACGAGGGGGAAGCAACCCGUAGGUUCGGAAUAACUCACCGAAAGGGGAGCUAAGACCGGAUAAGGUCUUCGGAGAAAAGAUUUAUCGCCGUUGGAUGGGGCCGCGUUGGCUUAGUUAGUUGGUAGGGGAAAAGCCUACCAAGGCGACGAUGCAUAGCUGGUGUGAUAGGAUGCUCAGGCACACUGGGACUGCGACCCGGCCCACACGCCUACGGGAGGCUGCAGUGUGGUAUAUUGGACACUGGGCGCAAGCCUGAUACAGCCAUGCCGCGUGAGUGAUGCAGGCCUUAGUGUUGUACAGCUCUUUUACCCGGGAUGUUAAUGACAGUACUGGGUGAAUAAGCUCCGGCUAACUCCGUG
rnacentral:rRNA from 1 species